GGAUUUUUUUGCAUUACCUCUCCCGGACUGGGACUAUUUUCAAUUCCCACUUUCCCAUGAAGAUUUUUUGGGAAUUUUGGGAGGAAUUUAGGAAAUUUGAGAAUUCCAGCUGGAAUCUGACCCAUGGGAAUUCCUGGAUUUGAGAAUUUCCGAAUUUCCCUGCAGAAGCCCAGGAAGGGAAUUUGGGCUCCCCCAAAAAAUCGGGAAAAAGUUCCCAGGAGAGAAUUCCCAGGAAUCCAGAAAUUCCGGGGGAUUUUUUUUUUUCCUGAGUUUUCCAUGGAUCUGUUCCUGAUUUUCCAUGGAUCCAUUCCUGUUUUUCAAGGAUCCAUUCUGGCGUUUUUUCCUGGGUUUUCCAUGGAUCCAUUCCCAGGUUUUCCCCUGAUCCAUUCCCAGGUUUUCCAUGGAUCCAUUCCUCAGGUUUCUGUGGAUGGACUCCAGUUCUCCAUAGAUCCAUUCCCGGGUUUUUCCCAGGUUUUCCAUGGAUCCAUUCCGGGUUUUCCAUGGAUCCAUUCCUGAGGUGUUUGCAUGGAUCCAUUCCCGGGUUUCCAAGGAUCCAUUCCCGGGUUUCCCAUGGAUCCAAUCCCGGGUUUUGUUGACCCAUUCCUGGGUUUUCAUUGAUCCAGUCCCAGGUUUUCCAUGGAUCCAUUCCUGGGUUUCCCAUGGUUCCAUUCCCAAUUUUCCACUGAUCCAUUCCUGGGUUUCCGUAGAUCCAUUCCCAGGUUUUUCCUGGCUUUUCCAUGGAUCCAUUCCCAGGUUCUCGUGGAUCCAUUCCCGUGUUUUUCCCAAGUUUCAUGGAGCCAUUCCUGGGUUUCCCAUGCAUCCAUUCCCAGGUUUUCCAUGGGUCCACUUUGGGUUUUCCAUUAAUCCAUUCCCUGAUUUCUCUAGAUCCAUUCCCAGGUUUUCCCCGGUUUUUCCAGGGCUCCAUUCCCGGUUUUUCCAUGGAUCCAUUCCCAGUUUUUAUUGGCCCACUCUUGGAUUUCCAUUGAUGCAUUCUGGGUUUUGCCUGGAUCCAUUCCCGAAUUUUCCAUGGAUCCAUUACAGGUUUUCCAUAGACACCUUGCCAGCUUUUUCCCAGGGGUUUCCAUGGAUCCAUUCCCAGGGAUUUUCCACGGAUCCAUUCCAUGGUUUCCAUGGAUCCAUUUCAGGUUUCCCAUUGAUCCACUCCCAGUUCUCCAUGGAUCCAUUCCUGGAUUUUUCCCAGGUUUUCCAUGGAUCCAGUCCCAGUUUUCAUGAAUCCAUUCCAGGUUUUCCAUGGGUCCAUUCCCGGGUUUUUCCCCCCCGUUUCCCAUGGAUCCAUUCCCUGUUUUCGUGGAUCCAAUCACGGGUUUUCCAUGAGUCCAUUCCCAGGUUUCCAUUAAUCCAUUCCCAGGUUUUCCAUGGAUCCAUUCCCAGAUUUUCCAUCAAUCCUUUCCCUGGGUUUCCCAUGGAUCCAUUCCCAUUUUUCAUUAAUCCAUUCCCGGGGUUUCCCCGGAUUUCCCAUGGAUCCAUUCCAUUUUCAUGGAUCCAAUCCUGGGUUUUCCAUGAGUCCAUUCCCAGGUUUCCAUUAAUCCAUUCCCGGGUUUUCAGUGGACCCAAUCCCAUUUUCCAUGGAUCCAUUCCCGGGUUUUCCAUGGGCUUUCUAUGGAUCCAUUCCUGGGUUUCCAUGGCUCCAUUCCCAGGUUUUCCAUGGAUCCAAUCCCAUUUUCCAUGGGCUUUCUAUGAGUCCAUUCCCAGUUUUCCAUUAAUCCAUUCCCAGGUUUUCCAUGGAUCCAUUCCCGGCUUUUCAAUGGAUCCGUUCCCAGGUUUUCCAUUAAUCCUUUCCCCGGAUUUCCCAUGGCUCUAUUCCCGUUUUUCAUGAAUCCAUUCCCGGGGUUUCCCUGGAUUUCCCAUGGCUCCAUUCCCAUUUUUCACGGUUCCAUUCCUGCUUUUCCCGCAGCCGCUGCCGCCGUCUACACCAUCUACAUGGGC
rnacentral:lncRNA from 1 species